AAGAUUGGCUUAGGAAAGAGACUAAAUCUAUUAGUGUGGAUGAAAGUUUGGAUCAUCUUGAGGAACUUGAACUUGAGAUGGCAAAUAGUGGAAGAGAUCCUUGCAUUGUUGAUGUAUGAUUGCAAUUUGCUUCUUUGUUACUAGUGUUCAACCAUGCCUUCUAGAGCUCGCUCACAAGUUUGGGAACAUUUUGUGGUGGUUCAAGACAAUGAAGAAGGGCGUAAAGCAAGGUGCUUAACAUGUGGUGCGAUACUUAAUUGUCAUAGAGCAAACGGCUCAUCUUGCUUAAUGAAGCAUAUUGAGAGAUGUCUUGAAGAGAGGCAGAUUC